CUCUCACCUUGAAAUCGACGCAAGUCUUGCGUAGUGUCGUUGUCGGAUGCCAUGGUUUCGUAAGCUGCUGCUGUCGCUGUUUUCCCCGCGAAACCGCAAGACGAUGAAUUUUUCAAAUUCACCAGAGCAGAGACAUGUCGCACUUAUAAGCUGGCUUUUGCGCUAAUUGCAUCACGGGGAUCCUAUCCUCGUGACCAUCGCGCUCGCACGACUCGCGGCAGCGAUGCUGCGCGACGAUGACCAUUUAAAAACGCGCAUUCGCGAGGAGAGGGGGCAUCCCUUCCCCCUAACCGAGCACGACGAACAGAUGGUGUCCCUCAAGUCUUUUCCGUCUGCGUCUGCGGUUUACGAGUUCGCGCUUAUAAAUGGCGUGCAGCACGUGUAUGUUUGAAUAAAAGAAAUUCAAAACUCGAAAUCUUUAUCAAUGUUCUUCUUUAUUGUUUAAAAUGUUGUACAUAUAUCUCGUGAUCAUGAUUCAUUUUUGAAUAUGAUCCAUUCAUUCUCAUAUACACUAUAUGUUAAUUAUGAAGUGUUACAAAAUUAUUUUCAAGUAUUUGUAGGUAAAUGAAUCUGACAUUAUCUAGGUUUCCUUAGUUACCUAAUUUAUACAUGUUGCUAGUUAUAAAAAAAAACUAAUGAAUAAUUAAAUAUUCAAUUUUAUUAAAUUCAUUUGUAUUAUUGCAGCAGCAAUUACUUUUAGAAAUUUGUACACGGUGAAAUCACGGCACCAGUAUUACUAAAUGCUC